GACGAACGCUGGCGGCGUGCCUAAUACAUGCAAGUCGAACGAGUGGCGGACGGGUGAGGAAUGUCUGGGAAACUGCCCGAUGGAGGGGGAUAACUACUGGAAACGGUAGCUAAUAACGCAUACCAUCGGAUGUGCCCAGAUGGGAUUAGCUAGUGGGUGGGGUAACGGCUCACCUAGGCGACGAUCCCUAGCUGGUCUGAGAGGAUGACAACGCACACUGGAACUGAGAAACGUUCAAGAUUCCUACGUGAGGCAGCAGUGGGGAAUACUGCACAGUGGGCGCAAGUCUGGUGCAGCCAUGCCGCGUCUAUGAAGAAGGCCUCCGGGUUGUAAAGUACUUUCAGAUAGGAGGCGUUACUCGCAGAAGAAGCACCGGCUAACUCCGUGCCAGCAGCCGCGGUAAUAC
rnacentral:rRNA from 1 species